CCUACGGGAGGCAGCAGUGGGGAAUAUUGGGCAAUGGGCGCAAGCCUGACCCAGCAACGCCGCGUGAAGGAAGAAGGCUUUCGGGUUGUAAACUUCUUUUGUCAGGGAAGAGUAGAAGACGGUACCUGACGAAUAAGCCACGGCUAACUACGUGCCAGCAGCCGCGGUAAUACGUAGGUGGCAAGCGUUGUCCGGAUUUACUGGGUGUAAAGGGCGUGUAGCCGGGUUGACAAGUCAGAUGUGAAAUCCUGCGGCUUAACCGCAGAACUGCAUUUGAAACUGUUUUUCUUGAGUACUGGAGAGGCAGGCGGAAUUCCGGGUGUAGCGGUGAAAUGCGUAGAGAUUAGGAGGAACACCAGUGGCGAAGGCGGUCUGCUGGACAGCAACUGACGGUGAGGCGCGAAAGCGUGGGGAGCAAACAGGAUUAGAUACCCCAGUAGUC
rnacentral:rRNA from 1 species